GGCAAUCUUUAACCUUACUUAUGCCUUAUUUUGACGAUUGACAUGCGUUUGACUUUCCGGUUUGCUACAAAGAUAAAUAUUAAUUUAUCUAUUUUUUGUUUGAGUUUAUUGAGUUUUGUGAUUUGUGGUUUGAUAUCGAAUGCGUGAUUGUGUUCGAUUGUUGUUAGUUCUUAGUUUGUAGCGUGUUUUUAGUUUGUGUUGGGUUCUAUUCGGCAUGCUUUGUUUAUGUUGCAUGGCUUUUGUUCCUGGGGUUUUCUUCUGUAUAAUGCCAGGAAAGUUGUACAGAUGCUAAUAUGGAGAGAAUUUGUCGCAAAGUUUCGAUCUUUCUUGCGUUUGUGUCCGCAUCGGCGGCUACUUUCCAUAAACUGCGGCCGAAUAAAAUCUACAAAACCGUGGUGGAACCAUUUGUGGAUUACGCCCUAAAGGGCUUGUUUACUGGAAGUGUUGUCGACCCAAUCGGCCAGCUAUUCACUGGAGGAGGAAAAAAGUCCAAACACCCCAAAGGCAAACAUUUUCGUUACUCCUUCGGCCCUUAUCAGGAUUAUCACCAUCAGGAGCCGUACUUCCAUCAUGAACCCGAUGUAUAUUUUCAUCAUCAUCAUCAGGCUCUUUAUCCUCCUCCUUGUGCUCAACAUGUGGAAUUCCAUCCACAUCAUGUUCCUCAUGCGGCUGUUCCGUUUUAUCCACCUGCGGAUGAGCAUUAUGGCGGGUUUGAUUAUGGUAGUGGACAUUUCGAUGGUGCUUUUGAACAUUACAAGGAUUUUCAGUUCGAUUGAAACUUUGGUUUAGUUUAUUCAUGUAUUUCUAGUUGAUUAUUUGAUUAAAGAGUAAAGUGAGUGAA
rnacentral:lncRNA from 1 species